UACGUAAGGUGCAAGCGUUAAUCGGAAUUACUGGGCGUAAAGCGUGCGCAGGCGGUUGUGCAAGACCGAUGUGAAAUCCCCGGGCUUAACCUGGGAAUGGCAUUGGUGACUGCACGGCUAGAGUGUGUCAGAGGGGGGUAGAAUUCCACGUGUAGCAGUGAAAUGCGUAGAGAUGUGGAGGAAUACCGAUGGCGAAGGCAGCCCCCUGGGAUAACACUGACGCUCAUGCACGAAAGCGUGGGGAGCAAACAGG
rnacentral:rRNA from 1 species